rnacentral:rRNA from 1 species
UACCGCAUAACGUCGCAAGACCAAAGAGGGGGACCUUCGGGCCUCUUGCCAUCGGAUGUGCCCAGAUGGGAUUAGCUUGUUGGUGGGGUAACGGCUCACCAAGGCGACGAUCCCUAGCUGGUCUGAGAGGAUGACCAGCCACACUGGAACUGAGACACGGUCCAGACUCCUACGGGAGGCAGCAGUGGGGAAUAUUGCACAAUGGGCGCAAGCCUGAUGCAGCCAUGCCGCGUGUAUGAAGAAGGCCUUCGGGUUGUAAAGUACUUUCAGCGGGGAGGAAGGGAGUAAAGUUAAUACCUUUGCUCAUUGACGUUACCCGCAGAAGAAGCACCGGCUAACUCCGUGCCAGCAGCCGCGGUAAUACGGAGGGUGCAAGCGUUAAUCGGAAUUACUGGGCGUAAAGCGCACGCAGGCGGUUUGUUAAGUCAGAUGUGAAAUCCCCGGGCUCAACCUGGGAACUGCAUCUGAUACUGGCAAGCCUGAGUCUCGUAGAGGGGGGUAGAAUUCCAGGUGUAGCGGUGAAAUGCGUAGAGAUCUGGAGGAAUACCGGUGGCGAAG